rnacentral:rRNA from 1 species
GAUGAACGCUGGCGGCGUGCCUAAUACAUGCAAGUCGAGCGAAUGGAUUAAGAGCUUGCUCUUAUGAAGUUAGCGGCGGACGGGUGAGUAACACGUGGGUAACCUGCCCAUAAGACUGGGAUAACUCCGGGAAACCGGGGCUAAUACCGGAUAACAUUUUGAACCGCAUGGUUCGAAAUUGAAAGGCGGCUUCGGCUGUCACUUAUGGAUGGACCCGCGUCGCAUUAGCUAGUUGGUGAGGUAACGGCUCACCAAGGCAACGAUGCGUAGCCGACCCGAGAGGGUGAGCGGCCACCCGAGGACUGAGACACGGACCAGACUCCUACGGGAGGCAGCAGUAGGGAAUCUUCCGCAAUGGACGAAAGUCUGACGGAGCAACGCCGCGUGAGUGAUGAAGGCUUUCGGGUCGUAAAACUCUGUUGUUAGGGAAGAACAAGUGCUAGUUGAAUAAGCUGGCACCUUGACGGUACCUAACCAGAAAGCCACGGCUAACUACGUGCCAGCCGCCGCAGUAA